AAUACAAAAUGAUUUCAGAAUUUCAUUAAAAUUGGAUUCCAUGACAAUCCAACUUGUCCCACAUUGCUUGUAAGGAAAAACCUAGUCAUUUGGGGUUCUAUAAAUAGAACCCCAAUUCUUCAUUCUCGUAUAAGGUUUUAACACCACAAAGUUCGGAAACUUUGAAUACUUGGAUCAAAACAAGAGUUUUCCCACAUCUAAGUUGAGUUCUCCGAGUAUCGGAACAAGUUAAAAAGUUUUUGAGUUUGAGUCAGCUCAUCAUCAUUUGUGAAAAGUAAUCGACUCAACUCUCGUGGUCCCUGUCGCUACUCGGCAAAAAGAGUAUCAGGUCGAAUCUACUUCUCUGACUCGUGGUUGUUUGACUCUUCAGCUCCCACUUGAGUUUUCCAGGGUGAUCAUGGCGUCCGCUGACCUCGAAGACUCUUUAAUUACUUAUGUCUUGCUUUCCAUUCAGAGACAUGCUUUGAGACUACUUAUGUAUUAUUAUUCAGACCUUUAGUAUUCGGAUUUAAUUGCUCUUGUAUGACCAGACCAAUUACUGUGGUGGAUUUCAUUUACUUCCGCACUUGUUAUUAUUAUAUAUUAUUGUGAGACUUAUAUUAUUUUA